rnacentral:rRNA from 1 species
UACGGGGGGGGCAAGCGUUGUCCGGAAUUAUUGGGCGUAAAGAGCUCGUAGGCGGUCUGUCGCGUCGGAUGUGAAAACUCGGGGCUCAACCCCGAGCCUGCAUUCGAUACGGGCAGACUAGAGUUCGGUAGGGGAGACUGGAAUUCCUGGUGUAGCGGUGAAAUGCGCAGAUAUCAGGAGGAACACCAGUGGCGAAGGCGGCUAUCUGGACGGUUUCUGACGCUAAGACGCGAAAGCGUGGGGAGCAAACAGG